rnacentral:ncRNA from 1 species
GUUUUGGUCCUAAACUUGCCGUUGUUUUUUAUCAAAUUUACACAUGCAAGCUUCAACAACCCGGUGAGAAUGCCCAAAACCCCUUAACAGCCAUAAGGAGCAGACAUCAGGAUCAGACAUACUCUAGCCCAUAACGUCUUGCUACGCCACACCCACACGGGAACUCAGCAGUGAAUAAUAUUAAACCAUGAGCGAAAGCUCGACUUAGUUAUGAUAAAUAUGGUCGGUAAAUUUCGUGCCAGCCACCGCGGUUAUACGAAAGACCAAAAACAACGGCCCUCGGCGUAAAGCGUGACUAAAGCGUAUCAAAAUUUAAAGAAAAACCACCACAAAGUUGUAAAACACCUUGCUAGUGGGACCAUCAACAACAAAAUGUCUUUAACCAAAAGAUUACUCAACCUCACGAAAGCUAGGAAACAAACUAGGAUUAGAUACCCUACUAUGCCUAGCCCUAAACAUAGACAGUAACAAUACAAUACUGUCCGCCAGAGAACUACAAGUGAAAAACUAGAAACUCUAAGGACUUGGCGGUGCUCCAUAUCACCCUAGAGGAGCCUGUCCUAUAAUCGAUAACCCACGUUUUACCUCACCACUUCUUGCAACUCAGCCUAUAUACCGCCGUCGCCAGCUUACCUUGUGAAAGAAACGAAGUAAGCAUAACAGUUAUUAACUAAAACGUCAGGUCAAGGUGUAGCACACGAAAUGGAAGAGAUGGGCUACAAUCUCUAUAACAGAGUACACGAAUGACACAGUGAAACCUGUGCCUGAAGGCGGAUUUAGCAGUAAGCUAAACAAGAAACUUCACCUGAAACCCGCUCUGGAGCGCGCACACACCGCCCGUCACCCUC